rnacentral:rRNA from 1 species
UACGAAGGGGGCUAGCGUUGUUCGGAUUUACUGGGCGUAAAGCGCACGUAGGCGGAUCGUUAAGUCGGGGGUGAAAUCCUGGAGCUCAACUCCAGAACUGCCUUCGAUACUGGCGAUCUCGAGUCCGGAAGAGGUGAGUGGAACUCCUAGUGUAGAGGUGGAAUUCGUAGAUAUUAGGAAGAACACCAGUGGCGAAGGCGGCCCACUGGUCCGGUACUGACGCUGAGGUGCGAAAGCGUGGGGAGCAAACAGG